UACGUAGGGUGCCGAGCGUUCGAUCGGAUCUGGGCGUAAAGAGCUCGUAGGUGGUUUGUCGCGUUGUCCGUGAAAUUCCCUGGCUUAACUGGGGCGUGCGGCGAUACGGGCAGACUGGAGUACUGCAGGGGAGACUGGAAUUCCUGGUGUAGCGGUGGAAUGCGCAGAUAUCAGGAGGAACACCAGUGGCGAAGGCGGCUCACUGGCCCGUAACUGACGCUGAGGUGCGAAAGCGUGGGGAGCAAACAGG
rnacentral:rRNA from 1 species